ensembl:lncRNA
UUUUUUAAUUCUGUAUGUGGCUCACACAAUACUCCUAUUAAACAGUGCUGCCCUAGGAGAGUCCAGGGCCCUGCCCACCCCUGCUGGAUGAGAAGCUGCCCUCUGCCAGGUCCCAGGGUACCCCGAGGGAGCCCUGCAGGGCGUGUACCAGCCCUCAGAGAGGCUUCUUACCAAAUCCCUGCACCGUGGCCGGGCCUAUAGCUCCGCAUGGAAACCCUUCUCCCUCAGAGUCUUCCCACAGCUUUGUGAACUGCUAGGGAUGUCCCCUAUCACUGCAGCUUCUGGCUAGAGGAGGAUGGCUGGUGGCCUCGGCCCGGUCAAUGCCAGCCCAGUUCAGUCUGGUACGGGCCACCUGGGAGGACGCCAGGGCAGCCAGGGAGAUCCCGGGUCAGGUCACGGCCCUGUUCAGAUCCCUCCAAGGCCCCAGGACUCCCCCUGGACUUCUGGGUGGCCCUGGGUCUCCCUUGGGCACCUGUGGGUGGUCCUGCCUUCCGGCCUCUGCACAUCCAGGUACCCCCCCACCCCGCCAUCCCCUCUGCGUCUCUGCCCUCACCACAGUCGCCCAGCACGCUAUCCCAGCCUGUCUCCCCACACACGGAGGAGCCGAGCCAUGACGCUAGAAGAGGCGGAGCUCAUCGUCCUAGGUGCCUAGAUAAGGGUCCUGAAUGAGCAAACGGGGAAGGCCCAGCAGGUGGCGUUUCUAACACGCAGGGCGGGGCCUGGGGGUGGGACUGCGGCUGUUCACCUGCAGCGAGGGGUUCAGUCAGAGAGACAGGGCCCUCAGAAGAGGGCUGGCAGGCAGAGGCCCACACACCAGGCGCGAAUGCUGGGCCAGCUGCCGGGAGGUCACCCACGCUCAACCCCGCCCUCCCUGGGAGCUGCUCAGCGAUGGCUCAUGGACUUGGCCUGACCUGGGGAGGACCUGAGGGCCUUAGAGCUCCAGGCCCCUCGUGGGGUUGGCCCCACUGCCACAGCCUCAGUGUCACCCACCUUCCAGGAAUCCACCCCGAUCUCCCCUUCUCCGCCCCCAACAAAACCACCACUGCCCUCACCUGCCACGGGCUCUGCAGGAACAUGCCUCGGCCUCUCCCAGAAGGCUCAUGCCCUCCCCACACCCCUUCUGCAGAUGGGAGGGGACCAGCCUGCCUGUGCCAACAACAGCAAGGUGGGCAGAGGCCCCCGCAGAGGUGACCAGAAGGCUGAUGGUCACUAAAGCACUGCACCCAGGCCCCAGUCUCCAGAGGGGUUCCUGAGGCAGCAACAGGGUCUCUGUAGUCAGGCAGUGGACAGCCUCCCCCAUGUCCCCAGUCACCCCCUGGAAGACACCUCCAUCCUCAACCUUCAGGCUGCGCUGCCCCCACCCUCUCUACAGCAGCCAGGACCCAAGCCCACCUUCCCACUGAGUACUGACCCCUUCCAGAAACAAGAGAACAAGCCACGUCCCACCCAGGCCUCAGGCUCCGAUCUGCUGCCUGUGAUGGGAGCCAAAUCCCACUUGCUGGAGGCCUGGCAGGCCCGCAGCUGUGUCUUCUGGUCAGCAAAGUCAAUCAUAAAAAUUAGAACUGACCACC